rnacentral:rRNA from 1 species
UACAGAGGGUGCGAGCGUUAAUCGGAAUUACUGGGCGUAAAGCGCACGUAGGCGGCUUGGUAUGUCGGGUGUGAAAUCCCCGGGCUCAAUCUGGGAACUGCAUCCGAAACUGCCUUGCUAGAGUAUGGGAGAGGGAAGUGGAAUUUCCGGUGUAGCGGUGAAAUGCGUAGAUAUCGGAAGGAACAUCAGUGGCGAAGGCGACUUCCUGGACCAAUACUGACGCUCAGGUGCGAAAGCGUGGGGAGCAAACAGG